rnacentral:rRNA from 1 species
AUUGAACGCUGGCGGCAGGCCUAACACAUGCAAGUCGAGCGGCAGCGGAAAAGUAGCUUGCUACUUUUGCCGGCGAGCGGCGGACGGGUGAGUAAUGCCUGGGAAAUUGCCCAGUCGAGGGGGAUAACAGUUGGAAACGACUGCUAAUACCGCAUACGCCCUACGGGGGAAAGCAGGGGACCUUCGGGCCUUGCGCGAUUGGAUAUGCCCAGGUGGGAUUAGCUAGUUGGUGAGGUAAUGGCUCACCAAGGCGACGAUCCCUAGCUGGUCUGAGAGGAUGAUCAGCCACACUGGAACUGAGACACGGUCCAGACUCCUGCGGGAGGCAGCAGUGGGGAAUAUUGCACAAUGGGGGGAACCCUGAUGCAGCCAUGCCGCGUGUGUGAAGAAGGCCUUCGGGUUGUAAAGCACUUUCAGCGAGGAGGAAAGGUCAGUAGCUAAUACCUGCUGGCUGUGACGUUACUCGCAGAAGAAGCACCGGCUAACUCCGUGCCAGCCGCCGCAGUAAUAC